GCCACUAUAGCUCAGUUGGUAGAGCAGCUGAUUUGUAAUCAGCCGGUCGGAGGUUCGAGUCCCUCUAGUGGCU
rnacentral:tRNA from 1 species